AUCCUACAGCUACCCCCAUCAAGUAUCUCUUUCUCAUUAACGCAGAGUGGUUAAAUAUGUCCUUCGCCAAUCCCCAUGUAUUUCAGUCAUGGUAUAUAACUGUUAAUCAUAGAGUUCAUUGAUUUCCUUCUUUCAGGUUACUUCAUAUAAGAAAAACAAAAUCAAAAAGACUAUUGAUAAACAGAGAAUAGCGCAAAUAACUGAUUAGAUGAGCAAAGUGUUAAGACAUUCAUCAUCUUAGGUCACGAUCUACUCGUUCGGACGCGUGUUGACAGAAGCUCGGCGGGAAACCAUUGCAAGUGGGCGUGUUUAGUGACUUCCAGUGUUUAGCUUUUUCCGAGGCGUUUAGUGUAUGCUAUGGCGACGAAGGUGGUGUGCGUGGAUCAAAGGAAGCCAUGUCCACGUAAAUAUGUCUUCAGCAACGCAAGGUAAUUCACCACACCUGGCCCUCACCUGGUGGCUCCGUAAUCUAUGCCCUGACCUGACCUGACCUGACCUCGAAGUGACCUCAGUCUCAUCGUUAGCAAAGGAGACAGUUCAAGGGCACACAAAAAAAGGAAACAAUAAUGAAAACAAGCCCGCUACUUACUGCUCCCAUAAAGAGUGCAGAGGAGUGGCCCAAAGAGAGGUCAAUUUCGGGAGAUGUGUUCUGAUACCUGUUCUUAUAUGAUAAUAAAAUUUCCUGAUC